rnacentral:lncRNA from 1 species
GUUUGAUAUAAAGCUACCUCAUCUGUGUUUGGAUAUGCUCAACGAGUCCAGGGUUUUUUCUGGAACAUUUACACUGCCCUUGGACUUUAAGGAUUUUGACACAUGACAGACAGCCUACAAAAAGGUUCCAAAGAACACCCCACUUUCCAAGCAUUUGGUUCUGUCAUAUUUACACAUAAAAGCUGACCAUGACCACCGUAAAUGCCCCUGUGUGUCUCCUUGCUCGGAAUGAGUUUUAUCGGAGCAUCUGCCCGACAGACAAAAUGAAGGCAGUUAAUAGUCUUUCUGAUAACUUAAUGGAACCAAAGCAAAGACAAGUGACUGUCUGGGUGACCAAAUCCAAGCACCAAGAUUUAGGGCCAAUGAGUGAUGGUUGGACAAUAAAUGUGGUUUUAAAGAGACCGGCAUCCAGGGGAGCCUCUUCCAAAAGGCAAAGCACCGCUGAUCGUGAGGUGAAGUAGACACCUGCACAAGAAUAGUGUAUAGAGCGC